UUGGUUAUUACCCUUCCCGUACUA
rnacentral:tRNA from 2 species